rnacentral:rRNA from 1 species
UACGUAGGGUGCAAGCGUUAAUCGGAAUUACUGGGCGUAAAGCGUGCGCAGGUGGUGAUGUAAGACAGUUGUGAAAUCCCCGGGCUCAACCUGGGAACUGCAUCUGUGACUGCAUCGCUGGAGUGCGGCAGAGGGGGAUGGAAUUCCGCGUGUAGCAGUGAAAUGCGUAGAUAUGCGGAGGAACACCGAUGGCGAAGGCAAUCCCCUGGGCCUGCACUGACGCUCAUGCACGAAAGCGUGGGGAGCAAACAGG